AAUGAACGUUGGCGGCAUGGAUUAGGCAUGCAAGUCGAGCGAGAAGAGUUUUGAAGCUUGCUUUAGAACUCGGACAGCGGCGAAAGGGAGAGUAACGCGUAGUUAUGUGCCCUAGGGGCCGGAAUAGCCACGGGAAACUGUGGGUAAUGCCGGAUAAUAUCCCCGGAUCAAAGGUGUGAUUCCGCCCUAGGAGCAGACUGCGUCCUCCUAGCUAGUUGGUGGGGUAAGGGCCUACGAUGGCAACGAGGGGUAGCGGGUGUGAGAGCAGGACCCGUCUCACUGGGACUGAGACACUGCCCAGACACCUACGGGGGGCUGCAGUCGAGAAUCUUCGGCAAUGGGCGGAAGCCUGACCGAGCGAUGCCGCGUGCGGGAUGAAGGCCCUCGGGUUGUAAACCGCUGUCGUAGGGGAGGAAGGUUCCGUGAAGAGCGGAAUUUGACCUAUCCUAGGAGGAAGUACGGGCUAAGUUCGUGC
rnacentral:rRNA from 1 species